GCAAGCAGGCCCUGAGGUGUCCGCACAGAGCCCAAAGUGGGGCUCGACCACACCAACAGUGAGAUCAUGACCUGAGCUGAAAUGGAGUCAGAAGCUUAACCGGCUGAGCCACCCAUGUGCCCCAAAAUGCAAUUUUUCAAGAUAUUUCAAAGGCAGUUAUAUUUCUGCUCAUUCUUCUUUUUUGUUGUUGUUUGGGUUUUUUUUAGCAUUCAUGAUGAACGUAAUUCAGAUUGUUCGUGACCACUGGGUACAUAUACUUGUGCCUGUGGGAUUUGUCCUUGGAUGUUAUCUAGACAAAAAGAACGAUGAAAAGCUAACUGCCUUCCGGAACAAGAGUUUGUUGUUUAAAAGGUUAGUUUGUACGUUUGUUUUAAACCAACAAUUGGCCAGCUUUUGGUAAUACUCUUUUUAAUACCAUGUGUGCCAAAAAUAAGCAGAAAGGGUAAAUUUUCCCUCAAGAACUUAUAUUCAAAUGCUAUCAUUUUGUAGUAUUAUUUGUCGCUUAAUCUUUGGAUAAAACUGAGUGAUUACCUUUCGAAUAACAGAUCUUCAGUUUAUGAACAGGGUAUUUCCGAUGUUUGAUUUUUUUUUUUUUUUUUUUUGGCAUUCAGGGUACAUUUGUAAUAUAGAAACGAAGUUUUAAACUAGCUCACCAAAGCCUACUUUAAUGUGGCUUUCACAUACAUUAUCAGACAGCAUUUUACAUAAACCAGAAUGUAGCUGAAAUAUAGGAUACCAAUAGUGGCUCAGUGCUGUGUUUGCAGCAACACUGCUGGAGAGCUCUAGACAUGGUGGCCAAGUGAUCAGAAGGCAGCUGACUGCUGCCUGGUCCCGUUGUGUCUCUGGAGAUGGCUUUUUUGGCAGCAGAGAGGUAGUUAGCAAGGCAGGGUGCCUGCCACUGGGUGUCACCUAGGUGGGAAGAAGCUCCGGGGACCAGAGGCUUGAGCAGCAUUCACAGUCCCUAUGUAGAGGGGGUCUAUGGUUAGGGAUUUCAAGAACGAUCACAUACAUGAAUUAGAAAGGGUUUAGAAAACCUCAAGUGAACAGAGGAUAAAAGCUUUCAUACAGACUAAGAAAUCACGGUUCCUAAAUCUAGAAAAAUGAAAUUGAAGGGCUGGUAAAAGUUUAAAAUCAUGAGAGAACAGAAUGGCUCUGUUGAGUCUACAUAAAAACUUUAAUGGGUCAAUUUAAUAGAAUAUAAAAUAUUGAACUCAUACUCUUCUUUUUCUCCCCCAUGAAAGUUUAAUUUAUACCUUUUCCUUUCCUUCCUUUCUAAUUUCCACACAGGGAAUUGAGACCCAAUGAAGAAGUCACCUGGAAGUAAAGGCUGUGACUGAAAUACAGAAUGUUCACAUUUUAAAAAUUGGGAGAGAAAUAAAAACACAUUCAUUAUUUAAUUUAAA
rnacentral:lncRNA from 1 species